rnacentral:rRNA from 1 species
CCCUUAGAUGUUCUGGGCCGCACGCGUGCUACACUGAGUGGAUCAGCGGGUCAGGUUGCGCGAAAGUGUUUCCUAAUCUUUAAAUCCGCUCGUGAUGGGGAUUGACGGUUGCAAUUUUCCGUCAUGAACGAGGAAUACCUUGUAAGCGCGGGUCAUCAUCCCGCGCUGAAUACGUCCCUGCCCUUUGUACACACCGCCCGUCGCUCCUACCGAUUGAGUGGUCCGGUGAGGCUUUGGGAUCUGAGCGGAAAGAGCGUUUCGCUCCUUUUGCUGGGAGAACUCAGUCGAACCUUAUCAUUUAGAGGAAGGAGAAGUCGUAACA